UGCCCCCUGGCCCAGCUGGUUAAGGCGCACGACUGUUAUGUUCAAUCAGCAGAACUCCCGUUAACACAUCGUGAGAUCGAGAGUUCGACCCUCUCGGGGGCAG